ensembl:lncRNA DPH6-DT DPH6 divergent transcript
UGUAAGAAUCAUUGUGAAGGUAUGGGCUUGGCAAAUGAAUGGAAAGAUGAGCAAUGGGAGAGGAAAGAAUUGAAGAGGGCUGUGAGGUUUGAAGAAUGGGCUUCAAAAUAAUUGCUCUUCUAUGUCAAGUUAUAUCUAGUCCAGCAAGAGUAGUAUUGUGAAGAAAUAAUUUCCAUCGCAACAUCCCCCAUGAAGUGGCGCUGAAAGAUCACGAUAGCACAGUUCCAUGAUGUGAAAUACCACAAGUCUGCAAUUUUUCGGUCUUGAGAGUGUCGCUGGGCUGAGAGGAUGGAAAUCUUUCAGUAAUUAUACCAGUUUGUAUUCGUCUCACAUUUGGGACCAAAUACAAAUCCGAUCCACUCUUUCUCCCUGUGAAUAUUCAUAAAAAACAAAGUGCCAAUUCUGGUCUAAUCAUGUAUGGAACCAAAUAUGUUGAUGAGUCCUAAGUAUAUACUGUAUGUAUGUAUACAUAUGAAUAUAUAUAUUUGUACACACUAAUUUUGCUUG